rnacentral:rRNA from 1 species
UACGGAGGGAGCUAGCGUUGUUCGGAAUUACUGGGCGUAAAGCGCACGUUAGGCGGCUUUUUAAGUCAGGGGUGAAAUCCCGGGGCUCAACCCCGGAACUGCCCUUGAAACUGGAGAGCUAGAAUCUUGGAGAGGCGAGUGGAAUUCCGAGUGUAGAGGUGAAAUUCGUAGAUAUUCGGAAGAACACCAGUGGCGAAGGCGACUCGCUGGACAAGUAUUGACGCUGAGGUGGACGAAAGCGUGGGGAGCAAACAGG